UCAGUCUAUUAUCAUCAUGGUGGGAAACAUGGAGGUACACAGGCAGACAUGGUGCUAGAGAAAUUGCCGAGAGUUCUACAUCCUGACAUGGUGAGAUUAGGUUAUUUAACUGCAGUUAGGAAAUAUUUCCAUUUAUGAAAGUGACAAUAGAGGUUCUCCUCUUGAUUCCAUGACCUCAGCAGCCUUAGCAGUUGACUAAGUUUCCAUGAGUAGGGAAAGAUUCCCUCCUAUUGAGCAUAAUACCAAACACCCAAUGUCUUGGUCAGCAUUCUAUUGCUGUGAAGAGAGACCAUAACCAUGGCAACUUUUAUAAAGCAAAGUACUUAAUUGAAGCUUCCUUACAGUUUCAGAAGUUUAGUCCAUUCUUAGCAUAGUGGGGAGCAUAGCAGCAUGCAGGCAGACAUGGUGCUAGAGAAAAAGCAGAGAAUUCUAAAUUCAGAUCUGCAGGCAGCAGAGAAGGAGAACCACUGGGCCUGGCUUACUUUUUAAAUCUCAAAGCCCACCCUCAGUGGCCUACUUCCUCCAACAAGGACACACCUCCUAAUCCUUUGAAAAUUUGCUACUCCCUAAGCGUUUAAAUAUACUAACCUAUGGGGGGGCAUUAAUAUUUAGAUAACUACACCCUUCAUUAAUGAUGCUUCUUUUUGCGGUAGACAGAGCCCAUCACAGAAAUCAACAACUGGCCAAAAUUCAGAGAACAACUGACCUGGUAGUGCACGUUAAUAUCAUAACCCCUCUAAUAAAGGCUUUGGGAAUAUCUCAGAAGUUUUGUAAGUACCAGAGGGUCUGGCCAGUUGCAGUGAGUUAGUGUCUUCUAUAUAUGACAGUGUGGCAAUCAUGAAAUCUUAAAAAUACAUUUGUUGUGUCAUUAAAACAGUCUCCUUUGGUGAUCUUUGAUGAUUGCUUCUGAAGGGAAUGACUCCUACGUUCCUGAGACACACAUUUCUGGAUUACAAAACUGGCAGAAACCUGGGAGAAUAAUUGCAUCUGAAAGGAUCAGAGAACAAAAUUGAUAAUUGAAAGUUUUAAAUUAAUUAAAUCAUUUAAAUAAAUAAUUGAUUAUUUAAAUAAAUAUUAAAUAAUUAUGUAAAUAAUUUAAAUAAUUGUAUUAAUUAAUUAAAUAAGAUAAUAAAAUAAUUAAUUAAUUUAAUUAAAAGAAAAGAAAUCUGGGGUUUUUAGUUAGGAUGAAACUCAUCUGAAGUUUGUCAAGUUGAGCAGAAAGUGAAGGACAUCUUGAAUAAUGUUAAACAUGGAAAACUCAUUGCAUCUUCAGUAAAAACAAAAGGAAAACAUCUUGUAAUUGGAAUACAAAUAUUAGAGAAUCAAAUUCUAGAUUUUUAACCUUAAUUUUUAUAUGAGUUGAUGUGUAGUUGUAAUAGAUACAAUGUGAUAUGUUCAAUUGCAUUAUGUAUGUAGACUGGAAUAAAUCCAGGCAGGUGUAAUAGAUAGGUGUUGCAAUUCUUCUAUGGGACUGAACAAAUGUAGCUGAAUAGUUUCUAGGGAGUCUCCUCCAUGGAUGUACAAUUUUACCAUCUUGACAAUUUUGCUAAAAAAUGAUGACCUGAAUCUAACUACCUUAAUAAAGCGAUUGCACCAAUCAAAUCUACACUGAAGGACAUUUUCUAAAAUAAUUGACUUUUCUCUCAGAAGUUAUCCAUAUUAUUCAAGAAACUUCCAUAUAUUGAAGAAAUAUUAAGAUGGAAGGCACCAAAAGAGACAUGACAGAAAAAGGAAAAUAUGGUCAAAAGUUCUCAUUUACUGAGACACUACACCUGUUGUGGCAACCUGAAAAAUCUGACACCAUAUAAAUGCAAAUUAGAUAAUAAUAUUUGAUGAGACAAUAUUUUGAUUUAGGUAAAUAAUGUAAUGAAAAUUAUAAGAAUAAUCUGAUUACUUAAAAAAUAUACAGACUAACUAUUCAGAGGUAAUGGAGGUUUGUAUCUGCAAAAUAGUACCAGAAGUCCAGGUUUAAAAAGAAAAGUGUGGGUUGUGUUUGUGUGUGUGUGUGUGUGUGUGUGUGUGUGUGUAUGUGUGUGUGUGUGUAUAGAGAUGUGGAAAAUAAAUACUGAACAAUGUUUACUAACUUGAUGUUGUUUGUGCAGGUCUUUGACAGGUAACCACCACUGCUGUCAGUUCCUGGAUGCAAUGGACUUGUCAUGUUCCAAAGACUUUAUUUGGGAGCUGCCUUCCACAUGUUCUGUAUCAUCCAGUCUUCCUGCCCUCUGCCAUGAUAUCUUCUGAGCCUUGAAGAGAAGGCCUAUGAUGCAAAUGUCUCAAUUCAAGCUGAUUUUGGAAUGAGAGAUUAUAUUGAACUAUCUUGAUAUGUGCAGGUUCAUCAUAUCAUAAUCAUCUUUAUAAAUAUAGGAAUGAAGCCAAAUGUCAUAGUUAGAGUGAGAUUUGAGAGUACUGGAUCCCUGACUCCAAUAUAGAGGAGUGAGCUGUGACCCUAGGAACAUAGAUGGUUUCUAAAGGAUUCUAAAGGCAAUUUCUCUAGGAUCAGAUAAUGGAUGACAGAAGACGACCAAGUCUUGCCUAUCCAGCAGUAUUAUGUGAUGUCUUCAAAGGCAAAGUGAGACACAACUGCUCCUGGCAAUACACCAACUGUGUCAAAAGAGAAGAUGAACAUUGAAGAAACUCAUCAUGGAGUUUGCUUCCAAUGUGGCAAGACUAGCCAUUUGGGAAAGAAACUGCUCUUGUCUGGACUGUUUGACUUAUUGUAUGAACUGGACAUGCAAGACCCACAAGGUUAAGAAUGUGCAUAGUGGCAUCUGCUUGUUAUCCCUGCAUUCAGGAGGCUGAGGGAAAGUGACUGCUGAAACAAGGUGGACAUUGCUACUGGGUUCCUGCUUCCUGGAAGACUCUUCCAGACAUCCUACAGGACACAAAGAAAAGUGACUAACAAACUGCCAAUACAGGCAGACAGUUUAAAAUUUCCUGCAUUACCGAGGAGUCUGCCAAACACCUUUUGGCUAUGGGCCAAAGAUGGAACAUUACAAAAGAACUUCAGCAUGAAGAAUUCAUUUCUAAAGAUAAUACAUGGUGUGAAGAUAACAAGAUUCAUUGUGGGGGUCAGAGAAUUGCUGUGGUACAAUGGAGCACAUACAUAAUCUAAUCAAGAGGAUGAUGGUGUACACAUCAGUGUCCCAAGAGAGUCACUUGUGAUCACUUCUGUAGAGAAGUCUGUCAGAACAUAAGAAAGAUAAGGAGAGCAUUCAGGUUUGGGAUAAUGUGACAUAGUCUGCUGAAAGUGCUCUGUCAAUGGAAAAAUCUUGUUAUUAUCAAACAUAUAAUGCAUUCAUGUAUAUAUACAUGAAUAUAUAUAUAUAUAUAUAUAUGUUAA